rnacentral:rRNA from 1 species
ACGUCAGAACUGUUUCGGUCUUCCAUCAGGGUUUCCCCUGACUUCAACCUGAUCAAGUAUAGUUCACCAUCUUUCGGGUCACAGCAUAUAUGCUCAAGGUACGUUCCAGUUAGAGGCAUAAAUAAUAUAAAUAUACAUUAUACAUAACUAUAUAGAACGCCCCGGGAUUGUGUUAAUUAGCUAUAAAUAGCUAAAAAACUAAUCCCAUUAUUAGUCAAGUUAAUUACGCUAUUAGGUUU